AUGAAGCUAGGCUACGGGUUUGGCAAGGAUUUUUGGUGAAGAAGGCCAAGGAGAAGGAUUAGGACGUGAUUUUUGAAGAAGAAAGGGUAAGGAAUGGGUUUUGGACAAACCCUAGAAUUUUUGGAAUUUAUUUGGUUGAUUUGGUUUAUGUUGAGCUAUUAUUGUUGUUGGAAAAAUUGUGAAAAAUAGAGAUUUGAGGAUGGUUAAAUUAGUAGGAUUUUAUUAGCAUAAUUUUCUUAGUGUUGGAAUUUUGUUGUGGAAGCAUUGGUGAUUAUUGUUGUGUAGUUUUGGCCAAAGGAAAAAGAAAAGGA
rnacentral:lncRNA from 1 species